rnacentral:rRNA from 1 species
AUUGAACGCUGGCGGCAGGCCUAACACAUGCAAGUCGAGCGGAUGAAGGGAGCUUGCUCCUGGAUUCAGCGGCGGACGGGUGAGUAAUGCCUAGGAAUCUGCCUGGUAGUGGGGGAUAACGUCCGGAAACGGGCGCUAAUACCGCAUACGUCCUGAGGGAGAAAGUGGGGGAUCUUCGGACCUCACGCUAUCAGAUGAUCCUAGGUCGGAUUAGCUAGUUGGUGGGGUAAAGGCCUACCAAGGCGACGAUCCGUAACUGGUCUGAGAGGAUGAUCAGUCACACUGGAACUGAGACACGGUCCAGACCCCUACGGGAGGCAGCAGUGGGGAAUAUUGGACAAUGGGCGAAAGCCUGAUCCAGCCAUGCCGCGUGUGUGAAGAAGGUCUUCGGAUUGUAAAGCACUUUAAGUUGGGAGGAAGGGCAGUAAGUUAAUACCUUGCUGUUUUGACGUUACCAACAGAAUAAGCACCGGCUAACUUCGUG